GGGCCCAUAGCUCAGGGGUUAGAGCGCCCGGCUCAUAACCGGUUGGUCGCAGGUUCGAAACCUGCUGGGCCCA
rnacentral:tRNA from 1 species